CCGCUCCGCCGAUGCCAGUGAUUGCUCCUGGGACCACGCGUAACUCCAGACAAGCAUCGCAUGAUCCUUCUCCAUCUACCGACAUGAGCCACCCCGCUCCUACACCUCCUGGAUCUUGAUUUCAUUCACUUGAUGAAAGCUUGCAUAGAUGGAGUGC